GAUGAACGCUGGCGGCGUGCCUAACACAUGCAAGUCGAGCGAACGAACCAAGAGGAGUCCUUCGGGACGAAUCAUGGGGAGUUAGCGGCGGACGGGUGAGUAACGCGUGGGUAACCUGCCCUAUACAGGGGGAUAGCCUCGGGAAACCGGGAUUAAUACCCCAUAAAACUCUAAGCGCGCAUGCGCUGUGAGUCAAAGAUUUUAUCGGUAUAGGAUGGGCCCGCGUCUGAUUAGCUGGUUGGUGAGGUAACGGCUCACCAAGGCGACGAUCAGUAGCCGACCUGAGAGGGUGAUCGGCCACACUGGAACUGAGACACGGUCCAGACUCCUACGGGAGGCAGCAGUGGGGAAUAUUGCACAAUGGGGGAAACCCUGAUGCAGCAACGCCGCGUGAGUGAAGAAGCUCUUCGGAGCGUAAAACUCUGUCCUAAGGGAAGAAGCCUGACGGUACCUUAGGAGGAAGCCCCGGCUAACUACGUG
rnacentral:rRNA from 1 species